rnacentral:lncRNA from 1 species
GUUAAAUGUUAAAAUGUGAGACGGCGGCAAGCUAUAUAUUUUUUGUUCUGUGUCUUGAAUACUAACCAUUAUUUCCUUUUUUUUUCUUUUACGUUGUAGGCAAUGGUCAGAAAAUAAGUGUGAAAUUCCAGAAAAGACCCUUUUACAAUUCCAGCAUAUCGUGUACGCACCCAUGGAAGACGGCAAGAUAGAAAGUGGCAUGCAUAGGGCUGGUAGAUAAGAUUUUAAAUCUUUUCCUGAAUAAGGAGGCAGCAAUGGCCAAAGGGAUCCAUGCAAGAAGGACCCAUGUAUUUGAUUUAAAAUAGCAUUGAUGAUCGGAAUCAUCUAUACCAACGGGAAUGGAGUAAAAUUCCAUGAUCUAAAUAAUAAUCCUGGAAUACUGCCGUACAAAUUAGGGACGUCGGAGAAAAAGAGCCCACAAACAAGACAGGGGAUCCUACCCCCAAAUCCCCCGAAGCCAGGAUGGACUUUUCAUCUAUCCAGGAGGAGGAGCUGCUAAGGUCCGCCAGCUAAGGUACCAGCCGCCAGCAACUCAGAAGCUGAAGUAAGCGAAAACUCCUCGACCAGGGAAGACCAAAAGGUUUUGACCAGGCGGGAGUUAAUGCUACCGAAGUCGAAAAAUUGCUACACAAGAAAAACAAAGAAGCAGGCAACUGCACGCAACCGCACAAAGAGGCGCAAAGAGGAAUGACGGAGGAAGAAGGAGGAGCGUGUAAUAUAUAAAUAAGGAUAUUUGGACGAUUCCCUUGACAUAUUACAGCGAGAAGCCAGCCAGGAGGGAUCAACAGUUCCUCCAGGAUCAGCUUCCGCUUCUACAAAUCCUCUUGUAGGAGGCAGCUCUAAGGGCACCACCAAAGUCUCGAACAGCGGGCAACACCAGAGAAGUCGCCAGCUAGUAAAAGGGCGUGGACCAAGGACAAGAGAUGUAAGGCGAGAGGUAGAUAAGCUGAAGCCAAUCAUCCUGCCCACGGCACCCGCCGCUGUCAGCGAACCACCCACCCAGCACCGGCGCUUCUAGCAAAAAGAGGCAAAUCAAAAAGGACACCCCACAUGACCGCCAGCAUAAGAAGCCUAGGCAACAGCGCAGGUCCAUCCCUCAAAAAGAUGUUCUGGUCACGGCGGAGGACAAACCCUCAAGGGACUAGCUUUUGAGCUCCUGUCAACCACUGACCGAGGAGGGUGACACCUUCACCGCGGCGAAGUCAUCUGACGCCCCAUGGCCAGUGGAGAUAGUCUUCACUCUGAGGACACCGGAGCGGCCAGACUUAGAGUAUGUCAGGGAAAUCCUUGACAUACAAAAUAGGGCCUUAAGUGUCCCCAGCUGGCAACACCUGAGGACGGAAGGCGAGUCUCGAAGUUUUAACCUUCACUUCAUGGUGAGCAGGGACGUUGCUGCUCGACUGGAGGAGGCCAGGUGGACACUCUUCUUCGAACUGGUCACUGUCCUAGCUUUUCGAGUGACUGUUCGGCGAACGCCCACCAGGCCCAGCACCGUAGCCGUAACCUCCAAGCCACCAGAAGGGCAGUCUUAGGCAGGGAACAAAUAAGAGGACUAGGGGCACUGGCUUUAAACUUAUAGCCGGUGGUGAAGGAGACCAGAGGCCCAGAACGUGUCUCUUAGCAUCCAGGGAGCUUCAACUAACACCUUUACCACAAGUAAGCUCCAAGAAUUCUACGGCAGCUCUGCUGGAGUACACGAUCUUAAAGUCAUCAACAAAAAGGAGACUUUCCCAGUGUUUUACCACCCUUGGAUGGCUAUCAAUAGGAAUUCAAAAAAGCAACGGCCUCAAAUUACUGCCCUGUGGUACCACAGCAGAAACUGCAGAAAAACCCUCAGACAUUGAUUUUGUAACUUUAAAAACCUGUUGUAGUGAGGUCAGGUAUGUUUUCAAAUUGUAGCAUUUUUACCGUUAAGGUGUAAAUUAAAACACUCGAUGUACAAAAAUAGUUAACUGAUUUAUUUUAUACGUACACACUAAACACGAUAACUUAAGACUACUUGAAAUAUCUAUUUACUACUAUUUAUGUCAAUUUUAAAAGUCGCGCCAAUAUUCUGAAGAAUUAACUUGACUCCUAGAACCUAGCGGUUUUUAUUGUAGAGAAGGAAUAAAAAUUAAAGUUUAUGAAAGAAAACUCAAUUUUUUUUAAAUAACGUACAGUGACGCUAUGGUACGUUAGGAUCUUAAGUAUGUCUGAAAAAUACAAAAUUUGUAUUUGCAAUUCACUACAGAAUGCUACUUAACACAUAUUCGAAAUUUUAAACAUGUGCGUGAAAUAAUAGAAGAGCGCGUAUUUAUUGUGAAAUAUUUUUGGUUAUUUAAUUUAAUUAUCUAAAAUUCACAAACUGUUAAAGUGACAAAUAUUCUUUCAAAACUUAAUUCAACCGCUUAUUUGUCCUCAAAGAAUUUAAAAUUGAUUGACCAAAGCAUGACCAACUUAGCUUUAUAAUCCGUUAUGUAAAAAUAAUUUAUUGUGACAUUUGUUGUAAUUCUACAACGGAUAAAAACUAUAAAUUCAACACAAUUUAAAAUAAGUUAAUCCGCGGCAACGUCGCCUUUGCACCAUGCCGCUAACGGCCUUUUGAUGUUCUAUAAAUAACCGCUACCCACGCGGCGUCUUUGUGUCAGUCGCUCGUCACCUCUCAGCGAGUCGCCUUUGAGCAACACCACCGAAAUAAAGAAGGCCGCGGGGAUUCGCUGUGACGUCAUCACAAGAAGGCAAAUGCUUUGCACACGUUUAUGAAUCUCGGUAGCGAUAAGGACGUGUAUUUAGGAUAAUAUCGGCCGUUAUAUUUAAAGUAGAAUGUUUUUUAACGAGUAUGGGUGUUAAGACUUGUAAAAACCUAAUUUAGGCAAAUAAUUGUGUCUUUAUCUGUCUCUGGAAUAACCUCAUAACCGGUGUAUUGCCUCGAUAACUUUCGAAGAAGUUAAGAUUUUAAUUUGAAAUUUGGUACACAUGUUGCAUUCCUAUAAACUAUUAGUUAGGAUAUCUUUUGAGUAAUAUCGGUUCUGAAAAAGGGGUAGAAAAUAAGGGAUGGUUUUUAUUCUUUGACAGAAAAAUAUUUGGCUUUGAUAAAAUAAAAAAAACAAUUCAUGAGGUAUGUAAACAAACUAAUUAUUAAAAAUGAAUUAUCUUAACCUUCAUUUCAAUAAGGGUAAUUGCAAAAAUAAGAAUUGAAAUGAGGGUUGAAAUUUUAAAAAAAUUAUUUGUAUCGAGGGUUGUAUAUAGAAUUUGGGGCUCAUACUAAUAUCAAAAAUAAUACUUAGUAUUACUAACUAAUUGUAGGUAUCACUUAUCUUAACUAGUAUGUUCAUAUUUCAUCUUUUUUUUAUUUUUUGGUUUUUUUGUAUUUUUUUUUAAACAGAUUUGAAAAAGAAAUUAAACUUCAAAAAUUCAUGUCAUAAAUUGGCGGGGGUGUAAUUUAAGCAAAUUUAAGAAGUUUGUGUAUCUAAUUUCCUUUUACUGCCUUUCCCAAGUCGAUAAUUUUUUUUGC